rnacentral:rRNA from 1 species
AUUGAACGCUGGCGGCAUGCCUUACACAUGCAAGUCGAACGGCAGCACGGGGCAACCUGGUGGCGAGUGGCGAACGGGUGAGUAAUGCAUCGGAACGUACCUUUCAGUGGGGGAUAACGUAGCGAAAGUUACGCUAAUACCGCAUAUUCUGUGAGCAGGAAAGCAGGGGAUCGCAAGACCUUGCGCUGAUUGAGCGGCCGAUGUCAGAUUAGCUAGUUGGUGAGGUAAAGGCUAACCAAGGCGACGAUCUGUAGCGGGUCUGAGAGGAUGAUCCGCCAAACUGGAACUGAGACACGGGCCAGACUCCUACGGGAGGCAGCAGGGGGGAAUUUUGGACAAUGGGGGCAACCCUGAUCCAGCCAUGCCGCGUGAGUGAAGAAGGCCUUCGGGUUGUAAAGCUCUUUCGGCCGGGAAGAAAUCGCACGGGCUAAUACCCUGUGUGGAUGACGGUACCGGAAUAAGAAGCACCGGCUAACUACGUGCCAGCCGCCGCCGUAACAC